AGUGAACGCUGGCGGUAGGCCUAACACAUGCAAGUCGAACGGCAGCACAGUAAGAGCUUGCUCUUACGGGUGGCGAGUGGCGGACGGGUGAGGAAUACAUCGGAAUCUACUUUUUCGUGGGGGAUAACGCAGGGAAACUUACGCUAAUACCGCAUACGACCUACGGGUGAAAGCAGGGGAUCUUCGGACCUUGCGCGAUUGAAUGAGCCGAUGUCGGAUUAGCUAGUUGGCGGGGUAAAGGCCCACCAAGGCGACGAUCCGUAGCUGGUCUGAGAGGAUGAUCAGCCACACUGGAACUGAGACACGGUCCAGACUCCUACGGGAGGCAGCAGUGGGGAAUAUUGGACAAUGGGCGCAAGCCUGAUCCAGCCAUACCGCGUGGGUGAAGAAGGCCUUCAGGUUGUAAAGCCCUUUUGUUGGGAAAGAAAAGCAGCAGGUUAAUACCCCGCUGUUCUGACGGUACCCAAAGAAUAAGCACCGGCUAACUUCGUG
rnacentral:rRNA from 1 species